GACGAACGCUGGCGGCGUGCUUAACACAUGCAAGUCGAGCGGUAAGGCCCUUUCGGGGGUACACGAGCGGCGAACGGGUGAGUAACACGUGGGUGACCUGCCCUCAGCUCUGGGAUAAGCCUGGGGAAACCGGGUCUAAUACUGGAUAUGACUCCAUGACGCAUGUUGGUGGGGUGGAAAGCCUUGUGCGGCUGAGGAUGGGCCCGCGGCCUAUCAGCUUGUUGGUGGGGUGAGGCCUACCAAGGCGACGACGGGUAGCCGGCCUGAGAGGGCGACCGGCCACACUGGGACUGAGACACGGCCCAGACUCCUACGGGAGGCAGCA
rnacentral:rRNA from 1 species